rnacentral:piRNA from 1 species
UGGUACAGCUAUAUAUAACCAUCAUCAUCUGU